rnacentral:rRNA from 1 species
GAAUCAGAAUGUCGCGGUGAAUACGUUCCCGGGCCUUGUACACACCGCCCGUCACACCAUGAGAGCUGGUAACACCCGAAGUCCGUGAGGUAACCGUAAGGAACCAGCGGCCGAAGGUGGGAUUAGUGAUUGGGGUGAAGUCGUAACAAGGUAGCCGUAGGAGAACCUGCGGCUGGAUCACCUCCUUUCUAAGGAGA